rnacentral:rRNA from 1 species
AUUGAACGCUGGCGGCAGGCCUAACACAUGCAAGUCGAGCGAGCGGCGGACGGGUGAGUAUUGUCUGGGGAAAUGCCUGAUGGAGGGGGAUAACUACUGGAAACGGUAGAGAAUACCGCAUAACAUCCACUGGGCCCAUAUGGGAUUAGAUAGUAGGUGGGGUAACGGGGCACCAAGGGGACGAUCCCUAGCUGGGCUGAGAGGAGAACCAGCCAAACUGGAACUGAGACACGGUGCAGACUCCUACGGGAGGCAGCAGUGGGGAAUAUUGCACAAUGGGCGCAAGCCUGAUGCAGCCAGGCCGCGUGUGUGAAGAAGGCCGGCGGGUUGUAAAGCACUUUCAGCGGGGAGGCGUUACCCGCAGAAGAAGCACCGGCUAACUCCGUGCCAGCAGCCGCGGUAAUAC